GAGGAGGUCAAAAGACCUGCUAACUCUUUAAUCUGGUACUAACAACCCAGCCUCCUCU
rnacentral:tRNA from 1 species